rnacentral:lncRNA from 1 species
AUCUCACCUCCUCCUCCUCGUGCUGCUCCUCCUGGCCGUCGGCGAAGCGCAGCGAGCUGCGGGUCUGCACGGGCACCUGGCUGGGCGAGAAGCGCCGCAGGUGGGGCAGCGUGUCCACGUCGUGGGGAGGGGUCAGCACCCGCGUCAGGGGCGGCAGCCGCAGCUCCGCGGGCCGGGGUCUCCUGGGGCUGCGGGGAGGGGGCUUCCGAGACCCCCCCGCCGAUACCGCGACAGAACCCGCGGCUCCUCCUCCUCCUGCCGUCGCAUUUCCUGCAUUGUUGCUGCCGCUUCCUCCUCCUCCUCCUCUCCUGGCGGGCGCCGGCGAGCCUGGGGUGUUUUUUGGGGUUGCCGAGGGGGUUUUGGUGGAUUUGGGGAGGGGGAUCACCCAAGCCUGGGGGGCUCCGUGGGGUCUCUGCUCCAGCAGCAGCCGCUCCUGCUGCUGCGUCAAGCGUUGCAUGUCCAGCUGCAACGAGCUCAGCGCCGCGCUCAGCCUGGCCACCGCCGCUUCGUAUUGCCCUGGAGGGGCCGGAGGCGGUUUUGGUGGAGCCCCCAGACUCAAUUCCUCCUCGGGAAGGGCGGGGGAAGCCCCCUCCUCGUCGUGGCGGAGGCGCUGCAAAGCGCUUUGGCCCAAGCGCUGGCGGUGCUUGGCGAAAAUGGCCUCGAUGCGUUUCUUCUGCGCCUCGAUGGCGCGGCGCUUCUCCUCCAAACGAGCUCCCAGCUGCGACAUCUCGGCGCUGAGACCCCCGCCCGAUUCGGGGGGACCCCCGGGAGAGGUGGGGACCCCCCCCAAAUUCACGCCGAGACCCCCGGGGGGAUUGGCGGGGGCGGCGCCGGUGGCUUCUUCCAGUUUCUUCUUGCGCUCGGCGAAGCUGGUCAUGGGACGGGCUGGAUUUUGGGGAGGAUUUUGGGGGGCCCCAGAAGGAUUCGGAGGGGUUCCAAGGAGAUUUUGGGGGGCGCCAGAAAGAUUCGGAGAGGUUCCAAGGAGAUUUUGGGGGUUUUGAGGAGGGGGAGGCUCCGGGGAGUGGAGGAAAAAAGCGUCGGGGGCUCCGUCGGGGAGGAGGCGCUCGGAGCUGUGGAUGAUCUGCAGAGCCUCCUCGAUGCUGGGGGGCUCGGCGGGCUCGGGGACGCCGUUGGGGACGGCCGGGGGGGUGGCAGGGGUGGCACCCGGCGGGUGGCAGCGGCGGUGGCGCGGGGCGAGGCUGUCGGAGCUGGCGGAGCGGGCGAGGGUCCCGGCCGGGACCCCCACGGGGUUGCCCAUGACGAUGUCGACGUCGCUGUCCAGGCCGAAGGGGAUGCUGAAGGACACN